UAACACAUCACCUGUAUGUCAAACCAUGUAAUGUUCCUCGCGUACCAUCUUAAUUAAACCACAUGCUCCACCGCUUGUGCGGGCCCCCGUCAAUUCCUUUGAGUUUCACCCCUUGCGGGCAUACUCCCCAGUGCGGUGCACUUAUCACGUUAGCUUCGGCACUGAACCGCUCGGCCCAACACCUAGUGCACAUAGUUUACGGUGCGGACUACCAGGGUAUCUAAUCCUGUUUGCUCCCCGCACUUUCGCACCUCAGCGUCAGUCAUUGGCCAGGAGUUCGCCUUCGCCACCGGUAUUCUUCCAGAUAUCUACAGAUUUCAACCCUACACCUGGAAUUCUAACUCCCCUUCCAUGACUCAAAGUUUCGCAGUUCCCAGCGCAGCUCUACAGUUAAGCUGCAGGAUUUCACGCCCGGGCUUACCAAACCGCCUGACGUACCCUGUACGCCCAAUAAUUCCGAACAACGCUUGCCCCUUACGUGUUACCGCGGCUGCUGGCACGUAAUUAGCCGGGGCUUAUUCGCCGACUAACGUCAUCAGGCAGGCAUUCCCUCCUACCCUUAUUCUUCAUCGACAAAAGGACUUUACAACCUUUCGGCCUUCGUCAUCCACGCGGCGUCGCUCCGUCAGACUUUCGUCCAUUGCGGAAUAUUCUUAGCUGCUGCAUCCCGUAGGAGUCUGGGCCGUAUCUCAGUCCCAGUGUGGCCGUUCACCCUCUCAGGCCGGCUACCCAUCAUCGCCUUGGUGGUCCGUUACACCCCCAACUAGCUAAUGGGCCGCGGGCUCAUCUCCUGGCGGAGCCGUAGCUCCUUUCUUGAUGCGGCCUCAACCGCACCACCUCAUUCGGUAUUACCCACUAUUUCUAAUGGCUAUCCC
rnacentral:rRNA from 1 species